rnacentral:rRNA from 1 species
CCUACGGGGGGCAGCAGUGAGGAAUAUUGGUCAAUGGCCGCAGGGCUGAACCAGCCAAGUCGCGUGAGGGAUGACGGUCCUAUGGAUUGUAAACCUCUUUUGUCAGGGAGCAAAGGGCGCCACGUGUGGCGCUUUGCGAGUACCUGAAGAAAAAGCAUCGGCUAACUCUGUGCCAGCAGCCGCGGUAAUACGGAGGAUGCGAGCGUUAUCCGGAUUUAUUGGGUUUAAAGGGUGCGCAGGCGGAAUGUCAAGUCAGCGGUAAAAUUUCGGGGCUCAACCCCGUCGUGCCGUUGAAACUGGCGUUCUUGAGUGAGCGAGAAGUAUGCAGAAUGCGUGGUGUAGCGGUGAAAUGCAUAGAUAUCACGCAGAACUCCGAUUGCGAAGGCAGCAUACCGGCGCUCAACUGACGCUCAUGCACGAAAGCGUGGGUAUCGAACAGGAUUAGAUACCCCGGUAGUC